ACCAUUUACAGUCUGCCAGAGUAUGAAAUGAUUUCCGAGUAAACCCACCUUAAAACCUAGGAAACCCCACCUCCAGCAACGUUGUCCCGUCCGACGCAGAGCAAAGAAUGGCGAACCGGCGAUGCAUCAAUGCCCUAAUAACCCGCCAUUCCUCAUCUCUACUCUCCCCAUCACACCCUCUCCAUAAAUCCAAAACCCUAGCUCUUCCUCUCCAUCACGCCCUCUACACACCCCACCUCGAAUCUCCUCCGUCAAUUCCCCUCCACGAAUUCCAUUCCCUCUGUUGCGGCCCUUCGAGCUUCGUCCGUCGCCAUUUCUCAUCCAUAACGAGGCAUUCCGACAAAGAAGGAGAAGGAGAAGAAGAAGAAGAAGACGAAGGAGAAGAAGAAGAAGGAGAAGGAGAAGGAGAAGGAGAGGAAGAAGAAGAAGCAGGAGAGAUCAGCGACGGAGAUGACGAUGUUCCCUCGUCGAAUUGCGUUGUCAAUAGAACGAAUUCAACGGCUGAGAAAGAGGAGGAAGCGGCUGCGAUCGGUUAUAAAGUGAUUGGCCCACUCAACCGUUCCGAACGACUGUUUAAGCCAUGGGAGCCGGUUUUUGCCGUCGUUCAGAUCGGUUCCCAUCAGUUCAAGGUCAGUAAUGGGGAUUCGAUUUUCACCGAGAGACUGAAACAUUGCGAGGUCAAUGACAAGUUGAUUUUGAACAGGGUUCUUAUGCUUGGGUCGACGACUCAGACUAUCAUUGGUAGGCCAAUAUUGCUGGAUGCAGCUGUACAUGCAGUUGUUGAAGAGCAUGCAUUAGAUGCGAAGGUAAUUAUAUUUAAGAAAAAGAGAAGGAAAAAUUAUCGUCGGACCAAGGGGCACCGCCAGGAGCUGACUAAGCUGAGAAUCACUGACAUUCAAGGAAUAGAGAAACCAGAAAAGGCAGCUGUUGCUGCUUAGGAACCGUCAUCGAUCUUCAGUUAGCAGUUAUGACCAUCGGCAUUAUAUUCUUACAUUGUGAUUUUGGAUUUUGGAUGUCAAGUCAGCAAGCAUCCUACUUGAUGGUUUGGAGAAUUGCAUGUCGGGAACUGCACAGUGAGGAAGCUUGUGAUGCUUCUGUUGCUUCAAUAUUUUCUACAUAGAAGGCUGCUGCCAGUUUGUUUGUUCAGGGUAAUUAAUGAUCUGUGUUUCCAAUAAAGAAGUUUUGCUAUUGGCAAACCUUUAUUUCAGGUCAAUCAAGACCAAGGUUUUACUUAAUGAUAUUGACUGGUGUAUUGGCUAGCUUGCUGGCCAACACUAAUGGCUGAUUUUAUUUUAUUUUUCUUUGGGGAAAAAAAAUCUAAAAAAUUAUUGAUUAAAUUCUAAAAAAAUAUUAGGAUCCCAAAUAUGUAUUCUUGUUUGGAUUUGGACAUA